GACGAACGCUGGCGGCGUGCUUAACACAUGCAAGUCGAACGGAAAGGCCCUGCUUUUGUGGGGUGCUCGAGUGGCGAACGGGUGAGUAACACGUGAGUAACCUGCCCUUGACUUUGGGAUAACUUCAGGAAACUGGGGCUAAUACCGUAUCGGAUCUCCUGCUGCAUGGUGGGGGGUGGAAAGUUUCGGCGGGUGUGGAUGGACUCGCGGCUUAUCAGCUUGUUGGUUGGGUAGUGGCUUACCAAGGCUUUGACGGGUAGCCGGCCUGUGAGGGUGAACGGCCACAUUGGGACUGAGAGACGGCGCAGACUCCUACGGGAGGCAGCAGUGGGGAAUAUUGCACAAUGGGCGGAAGCCUGAUGCAGCAACGCCGCGUGUGGGAUGACGGCCUUCGGGUUGUAAACCGCUUUCGCCUGUGACGAAGCGUGAGUGACGGUAAUGAGUAAAGAAGCACCGGCUAACUACGUG
rnacentral:rRNA from 1 species